GAAAAUAGUCCAUGGCAGCAUUUAUCGUUGAGACAAAGCUAUGAGAAACUUCCAGCAUUCUUUACGGCAACUGGUUUUUGAAAAGCCAUGAAAAGCAGUUAAUCUCCACGUAUUAUGAAAACAAAAAAAACUAGCAUGUCAAUAUGAUUCUAACAAUAGCCAACAACACGAAUUAAAUCUUUAUUAUUCCAAAAAAUAGCAAGUCCAUCAAACCUACCCAACCUAUCAACUGAAAAGCAACAAUCAAAAUGAAACUGAGCUUGUAGCUCCUCUAUUCUACUACAGUGAACUAAGGUUUCUAUUAAAAAUAAAACAUCAGGCUUACUACUCUUAAUAAGCUCCUGAAGAGCGCAAACCGCCUGGAGGUUGCCUAAGCCUCGGUAGUUCCAACUGAUGCAAAUCAUUGUGCUUGGCAGGCCUACUCAGUCUGCUCCACCGUUUGAGUAUUAAACACUUGAACCAAAGAAUCCACUGUAGAAUCUUCAAAUGGAGGAGGUAGAUUGAGUAGCCUAUGUUACCCUUGGCCUUUUCUUGGACUCACCUACUUUAAACUCAUCUACUCGAUGAGAUGAUCAUGAUUAUGGCCUGGAUUCAAGUUGUGGUGGCUUCGCUAGGGAGAAAUCGAAGCAAGAAGGAUUCAGUUACUAUGGCAGGCACGAUUCUGAUGAUUCAUGCAUUCUCCGGCGAGUUUAGGCUUCGGGAUAGGCACCGGUCGAUCUCUCCUCCCUGCGAGAACAUUUUCCCUCUGUCAAUCGAGGUUUCCGAUGGAGAACGAUGAACCAUGAUCGGUGGCUCCUUUUGUGGCUGUCGAGGCUCAUUCCGGGCAAAUGGAUCACUAACUCAACAAAUGGACACUAAAUUCAAGUCCCCCAUGAAAUUCUGAGCAGAGUGGUGUAAGCCUUGUGAAGUUCUAGCAAGGCACGAUUUUUCGGCCACUGUGCGGCGAGCUUUGGCAAGACUGCGGCAGGGACUUCGAGGCAGAAUUGUCUACUCUUCAAGCUGAUAUCAAAUCUGCAAUCCAAUUUUGAAUUUGAGAGUUUUAGGCCUCGACACUACUUUUUUUUAAAAUUCUAUUAAAGGUUAUUAAUUUAAAUUAGAUCAAAUUAGUUUACUUAAGUGGAUUGAUAUUGAAUGAGCUUAAGUAAAUGCUAAUUUAAUUAAUUGAGCUAAUGGUCGACAUAAAACGUCAUGAAAUUAGAGUAGAAUUUGAUAUCCAUAAGUUACCAUUAUGAAUGGCGCAUUUAUUGCUUCUAAG
rnacentral:lncRNA from 1 species